rnacentral:rRNA from 1 species
AUUAAGCCAUGCAUGUGUCAGUACAAACCGAAACUAAACGGUGAAACCGCGAAUGGCUCAUUAAAUCAGUCGCAAUCUACAGGAUAUCGAUCCCACCUCGUUGGAUAACUGUGGUAAUUCUAGAGCUAAUACAUGCAACUGAGCUCCGGUCCUCGCUUCUAGCGACGGGAAGGGCGCAUUUAUUAGACCCAUACACCGAUCUAAAGCCCGACGCGAGUCGGGCGGUUCUGGGGACUCCGAAUAACUAUGCCGAGCGUUUAGGUCGCGAGACCGGCGCCGUAUCCUUCGAGCGUCUGCCUUAUCAGCUCAAUCGUAGGGUCUUGGCCUACGAUGGCUGUGACGGGUAACGGGGAAUCGGGGUUCGAUUCCGGAGAGGGAGCCUGAGAAACGGCUACCACAUCUAAGGAAGGCAGCAGGCGCGCAAAUUACCCAAUCCCGGCACGGGGAGGUAGUGACGAAAAAUACCGAUGCGGGUCUCCGACGAGGCCUCGCCAUCGGAUUGAGUUAAACUAAAAACUUGGACGAGUGUCCAUCGGAGGGCAAGUCUGGUGCCAGCAGCCGCGGUAAUUCCAGCUCCGAUAGCGUAUAUUAAAGAUGCUGCGGUUAAAAAGCUCGUAGCUGAAUUUCGCGUCCGGAUUGACGGCCCGCCCUGGUCGGACGUACGACUUGUCUCGCCCACGGUGGGAUAUUGAAACGACGUUCGUCCUCCGGCGGAUAACCUAGUCAAACCCGGUUCGCCGAAAUCCGUCGGCUCGCGAGGGGUGCCUCCGGUGUCCCUAGCGUCCGGCAUUUUCACUUUGAAUAAAUAAGAGUGCUCAAAGCGGGCGCAAAAGUUUAACGCCAAAACGAAGGUGCAUUGAACGAAAUAAUAAGACCUCGACCCCGCCGUUGUUCCGAUCGGUAUGAAGGGGGUCGAGGUAACGAUUAAGAGAAGCGGGCGGAGACAUACGUACUGCGUCGCGAGAGGUGAAAUUCGUUGACCGUCGCAAGACGAACUGAGGCGAAGGCGUUUGUCGAGAACGUUUUCAUUAGUCAAGAACGAAAGUCAGAGGAUCGAAGGCGAUCAGAUACCGCCCUAGUUCUGACCGUAAACGUUGCUACCUGACGAUCCGUCGACGUCGCUAUCUAGACUCGGCGGGAAGUCUCCGGGAAACCUAAGGUUUCGAGCUCCGGGGGAAGUAUGGUUGCAAAAGUGAAACUUAAAGGAAUUGACGGAAGGGCACCACCAGGAGUGGAGCCUGCGGCUUAAUUCGACUCAACACGGGUAAACUUACCAGGACCGGACGCUGAAAGGAUUGACAGUAUGAGAGCUCUUUCUCGAUAUAGUGCARAGUGGUGCAUGGCCGUUUCAAGUUGGUGAUGCGAACCGUCUGGUUGAUUCCGAUAACGAGCGAGACUCUGCCUUACUAAUUAGUCGACGAAUUGGCUCUUACGGACACGGGGCAAAGAGUCCUACGGCGUCGUCCCGGCAUUCGCACCGUCGUCCCCGUCGAUGAUCGAUUCCGAGUAGUUUCGCGAUUCGUUCGCCUAACGUCGGCUAUCGUCGACGCGGGAUAACGCGAACCGGGCGUCGCUCUCUCGGCCUGCGUCUCUGUCCAACGUAGGAGCGUUCGUCGCAAACUUUUCUUCUUAGAUGAAUCGGCGGCGUUUAGCCGCACGAAAAUGAGCCAAAACAGGUCUGUGAUGCCCUUAGAUGUUCCGGGCCGCACGCGCGCUACAAUGGUAGGUUCAACGUGCAUCGUCCCCCUCCGAAAGGAGAGGGUAAUCCCCGUAAGGCCAAAAGACUUCGGUUGGGAUUGGGGCUUGGAAAUAUCCCCCACGAACGUGGAAUUCCUAGUAGACGCGAGUCCUUAGCCCGCGUCGACUGAGUUUCUGCCCUUUGUACACACCGCCCGUCGCUACUACCGAUUGAGUGAUCGAGUGAGGGCCUCGGACUGUCGCCCGUGGCCGAUCGACCUUCUCGUUUCGGCGAGAGGCCGUCGCCUAGGGCUGACGGAAUGACGUCCCAACUCGGCUAUUAGAGGAAGUAAAAGUC